rnacentral:rRNA from 1 species
GGACGAGCUCGGGCGGCGUGCUUACACAUGCAAGUCGAGCGAGGCCCUCCUUCGGGAGGUGUCUAGCGGCGAACGGGUGAGUAACACGUGGGCAACCUGCCCCUAGCACUGGGAUAACCCCGGGAAACCGGGGCUAAUACCGGAUACGACCAACGAGGGCAUCCUCGUUGGUGGAAAGGGUUACCGGCUAGGGAUGGGCCCGCGGCCUAUCAGCUUGUUGGUGGGGUGACGGCCCACCAAGGCGACGACGGGUAGCCGGCCUGAGAGGGCGACCGGCCACACUGGGACUGAGACACGGCCCAGACUUCUACGGAAGGCAGCAGUGGGGAAUAUUGCGCAAUGGGCGAAAGCCUGACGCAGCGACGCCGCGUGAGGGACGAAGGCCUUCGGGUUGUAAACCUCUUUCAGCAGGGACGAAGCGAAAGUGACGGUACCUGCAGAAGAAGCACCGGCCAACUACGUGCCAGCAGCCGCGGUAAUACGUAGGGUGCAAGCGUUGUCCGGAAUUAUUGGGCGUAAAGAGCUCGUAGGCGGUUUGUCGCGUCUGCUGUGAAAUCCCGAGGCUCAACCUCGGGCCUGCAGUGGGUACGGGCAGACUGGAGUGCGGUAGGGGAGAAUGGAAUUCCUGGUGUAGCGGUGGAAUGCGCAGAUAUCAGGAGGAACACCGAUGGCGAAGGCAGUUCUCUGGGCCGUAACUGACGCUGAGGAGCGAAAGCGUGGGGAGCGAACAGGAUUAGAUACCCUGGUAGUCCACGCCGUAAACGUUGGGCGCUAGAUGUGGGGACCUUUCCACGGUUUCCGUGUCGUAGCUAACGCAUUAAGCGCCCCGCCUGGGGAGUACGGCCGCAAGGCUAAAACUCAAAGGAAUUGACGGGGGCCCGCACAAGCGGCGGAGCAUGCGGAUUAAUUCGAUGCAACGCGAAGAACCUUACCAAGGCUCGACACAACCGGGAACGCCCUAGAAAUAGGGAACUCUUUGGACACUCGGUUACAGGUGGUGCAUGGUUGUCGUCAGCUCGUGUCGUGAGAUGUUGGGUUAAGUCCCGCAACGAGCGCAACCCUCGUCGCAUGUUGCCAGCACGUUAUGGUGGGAACUCAUGUGAGACUGCCGGGGUCAACUCGGAGGAAGGUGGGGAUGACGUCAAAUCAUCAUGCCCCUUAUGUCUUGGGCUUCACGCAUGCUACAAUGGCCGGUACAAAGGGCUGCGAUGUCGUAAGGCGGAGCGAAUCCCAAAAAGCCGGUCUCAGUUCGGAUUGAGGUCUGCAACUCGACCUCAUGAAGUCGGAGUCGCUAGUAAUCGCAGAUC